rnacentral:rRNA from 1 species
UACGUAGGGUGCAAGCGUUGUCCGGAAUUAUUGGGCGUAAAGAGCUCGUAGGCGGUCUGUCGCGUCGGAUGUGAAAACCCAGGGCUCAACCCUGGGCCUGCAUUCGAUACGGGCAGACUAGAGUUCGGUAGGGGAGACUGGAAUUCCUGGUGUAGCGGUGAAAUGCGCAGAUAUCAGGAGGAACACCGGUGGCGAAGGCGGCACUCUGGGCCGGUACUGACGCUGAGGAGCGAAAGCGUGGGUAGCAAACAGG